rnacentral:rRNA from 1 species
ACAGAGGGUGCGAGCGUUAAUCGGAAUUACUGGGCGUAAAGAGCGCGUAGGCGGUUUUGUAAGUCAGAUGUGAAAGACCUUGGCUCAACCAGGGAACUGCAUUUGAUACUGCAAGACUAGAGUAUGGUAGAGGAAAGUGGAAUUUCCGGUGUAGCGGUGAAAUGCGUAGAUACCGGAAGGAACACCAGUGGCGAAGGCGACUUUCUGGACCAAUACUGACGCUGAGGCGCGAAAGCGUGGGGAGCAAACAGGAUUAGAUACCCUGGUAGUCCACGCCAUAAACGAUGAAUACUAGCCGCUUGGCGCAUAAAAGUGCUGGGUGGCGUAGCUAACGCGAUAAGUAUUCCGCCUGGGGAGUACGGCCGCAAGGUUA